GACGAACGCUGGCGGCGUGCCUAAUACAUGCAAGUCGAACGCACUCUCGUUUAGAUUGAAGGAGCUUGCUCCUGAUUGAUAAACAUUUGAGUGAGUGGCGGACGGGUGAGUAACACGUGGGUAACCUGCCCUAAAGUGGGGGAUAACAUUUGGAAACAGAUGCUAAUACCGCAUAAAACCUARCAYCGCAUGGUGYAGGGUUGAAAGAUGGUUUCGGCUAUCACUUUAGGAUGGACCCGCGGUGCAUUAGUUAGUUGGUGAGGUAAAGGCUCACCAAGACCGUGAUGCAUAGCCGACCUGAGAGGGUAAUCGGCCACACUGGGACUGAGACACGGCCCAGACUCCUACGGGAGGCAGCAGUAGGGAAUCUUCCACAAUGGACGAAAGUCUGAUGGAGCAACGCCGCGUGAGUGAAGAAGGUUUUCGGAUCGUAAAACUCUGUUGUUGGAGAAGAAUGUAUCUGAUAGUAACUGAUCAGGUAGUGACGGUAUCCAACCAGAAAGCCACGGCUAACUACGUGCCAGCAGCCGCGGUAAUACGUAGGUGGCAAGCGUUGUCCGGAUUUAUUGGGCGUAAAGCGAGCGCAGGCGGUUUCUUAAGUCUGAUGUGAAAGCCUUCGGCUCAACCGAAGAAGUGCAUCGGAAACUGGGAAACUUGAGUGCAGAAGAGGACAGUGGAACUCCAUGUGUAGCGGUGAAAUGCGUAGAUAUAUGGAAGAACACCAGUGGCGAAGGCGGCUGUCUGGUCUGUAACUGACGCUGAGGCUCGAAAGCAUGGGUAGCAAACAGGAUUAGAUACCCUGGU
rnacentral:rRNA from 2 species